GAUGAACGCUAGCUACAGGCUUAACACAUGCAAGUCGCGGGGCAGCAUGGGGGUUGCUUGCAAUCCCCGAUGGCGACCGGCGCACGGGUGAGUAACGCGUAUCCAACCUGCCCUUCACCACGGGAUAACCCGGCGAAAGUCGGACUAAUACCGUAUGUUGUCCAUUGACGGCAGCCGAUUUGGACGAAAGGUUUGGCGGUGAAGGAGGGGGAUGCGUCCGAUUAGCUGGACGGCGGGGUGACGGCCCACCGGGGCGGCGAUCGGUAGGGGUUGUGUGAGGAAGGUCCCCCACACUGGAACUGAGACACGGUCCAGACUCCUACGGGAGGCAGCAGUGAGGAAUAUUGGUCAAUGGGCGUAAGCCUGAACCAGCCAAGUAGCGUGCAGGAGGACGGCCCUAGGGGUUGUAAACUGCUGUUAUGCGGGGAUAAAGUGGCCCACGUGUGGGUUUUUGCAGGUACCGCAUGAAUAAGGACCGGCUAAUUCCGUG
rnacentral:rRNA from 1 species